AGCAUGUCGCGGUGAAUACGUUCCCGGGUCUUGUACACACCGCCCGUCACACCAUGAGAGUUGGAGAUACCCGAAGCCUGUGAGCCAACUAUAUAGAGGCAGCAGUCGAAGGUAGAAUCAAUGAUUGGGGUGAAGUCGUAACAAGGUAUC
rnacentral:rRNA from 1 species